CUGCUCUCUUUGGCAGCACAUGUACUAAUAAUAUAGGAAGGAUACAUAAAAGAUUAGCACAGCCCUUGUGAAAGGUUGACAUGCAUAUCUGUGAAGUGUCUCAUAUUAAA
ensembl:snRNA U6 U6 spliceosomal RNA